AAAGAAACAAAAAUCCUAAAAUAUAUCACAUUUAGUGGACCGCUGCCCAGGACCUCUGGUGGCGAAACUGUAGCGGGUUCCUUCGAUGUCGGCACAUCAAACAUCGACGAUGGAGAAGGAGGUGGCGACGUUGGAGAAGGGCGCGCUCUGCUGCAGCUGGAACUACUGUGGGCAGAGGCUAGCGGUCGGCUUCGUCGACGGCUCCGUCUCCAUCCACGACAACCUGGACUCCGCCUCUUCUUGUUCCUCCAAAUGGAAGGCACAUGCGAGCAGCAUUAAUAAUAUUGUUUGGCUUCCUCCAGAAUUUGGUGAUGCUAUUGCUUGCAUUUCUGCUGAUGGGUCAAUGUCUUUGUGGGAGGAAGUUGAAGACGAUACUCAACCUCUUAAAUGGAAGAUGUGCAAGCUCUUUGAAAGCAGCAAUGUUACUGUACUUGACCUUCAAUUUGGGGUAUAUUCAACAAGUUUGAAGAUGGUUGUGGCAUAUUCAGAUGGACAUGUGAAGGUCUAUGAGCUCUUGGACCCUUUGGAAUUAAACAAGUGGCAACUUCAGGCAGAGUUCCAGAAUGUGAUUGAUUCAGUUUUGAGAUUUGGAAAGCCAUCAUGUGCAAAGGCAUCAAUUGCAUGGAAUCCACGAAGAGGUGAAAGCCAGCAGUCAAGUUUUGUCCUGGGAUUUAAUUCAGAUCUGCCUCAAUUCAAUUCCUCUAAGAUUUGGGAGUUUGAAGAGGAUCAUCAGCGUUGGCUGCCAGUUGCAGAGCUGGCUUUACCAGGUGACAAGGGCGAUAGGGUACAUGCUGUAGCUUGGGCUCCUAAUAUUGGCAGACCUUACGAAGUUAUAGCUGUUGCAACUUGCAAGGGGAUUGCAAUAUGGCAUGUAGGAUUGAAUCCUGAGUCUGAUGGGAGACUCUCAACAGAGAAGGUUGCCUUGCUAUCUGGACAUGAUGGCGAGGUAUGAAAAUGUUUACUUUUUGAAUUUUGAGAAUGUCAAAUCUUUCUGGAAACCGCUAAAGCUGCACACAGCAUGAUGGUUUGACCAAUUAUUUAUCCUUAUUUUUAAGAACUUCCAGCAGUUGGUUGUUCAGCCUUUCUGUUUCUCAUGAUUAACAUUAUAUUGUUUGCACAUAAAAUGCACCAGUGAGUCUUCCCACUGGAUGUCAUUGUCACUAUUUUGCGGAUGGGUGAAUGUAGUUUCCUGAAGUUGACUUGUAAGCCUUUGCGGCUAGAACCUCCAUGGUCGGAUCUUCCUCCCCAAUCUUUAACUUACUGGUGGUGGUUCAGCAAUUUGCCUCAGUGGUACCUUCAAACAAUUUCAACCUGAACUCUAACAAUUUUUCCCCCAACUGUAUAUGCCAGGAAGGUAUGGCAAUUGGAGUGGGAUGUGAGUGGUUUGACAUUAGCAUCAACAGGAGCUGAUGGCAUGGUUAGGCUAUGGCAGUCCAACGUAAAUGGUGUAUGGCAUGAAGAGGCAGCCCUUGAAUGCAACGGGAUGCAGCAGUAGGAAGAUCAAUCAGGCUAUUGGUUGCCUUGCUGUACUUGAUCUCUCGAUCGUCACUUACCUUGGUUAAGAUAGUAAAGCUGCAGCAAAUCUUGCAGAAUGGUAUAUGUAUCCCAUGCAUCUAAACCCCAUUCUUACGAGAGAUUGAUGCGCCGAUGUAGCUUAGCAGAGGAAGGCAUGUUUCAUUUAAAUUUCGAGUUACUUUCUUGUCCCAAAUAAAAAAAAAAUCACUUGCUCGAUUCUUCAAAAUGUUGCCAUGUGAGAGAUGAAAUAUGGUGCAUAUAACAGGUUCACGAAGCUUCUGGA